rnacentral:pre_miRNA from 1 species
GUCUGUUCACAUCUUACCGGGCAGCAUUAGAUAUUUUUUAAAUACUUCUAAUACUGUCAGGUAAAGAUGUCGUCCGA